UCCACUCCUUUCUUUCUCUCCUCUCUCUCUCUAUUAUAUAAACACUCCCACCUUUCUCUUUCUCCGCUGCCAAACCUUCCAUUCCUUUUUCUCACUUACUAUUCUUUCUUUCUUUCUUUCUUUCAAAACCCUACUUUCUUCUCUCUCUUUUUUUUGGAAGCUACCAAUGGCCGCCGUCUCUAAGGUUUCUUUCAUGGCUCUUGUUGCCGUUUUGUUCGCCGUCCUCUCCGUUGCUGUUGCACAAUCUGCAGAGUCUCCUGCUCCCCCUCCGGCUUCUCCGGCUAACUCUGUCGUUCCUUCCUUGAGCUUUGCUUGUGUUGGUGCUUUCCUUGCUCUUCUCUUUGGAUCUGCACUCAAGGCUUGAAUCUCACAUUCAUGAUACUUCUUCCUACGCGUUUUGUGAUUUUACCCAUGGAUUCGGUUACUGAUGAUACUCCAUUAUUGAGGGUUUUAUUGACUAUAUUAUUGAGUGUAUAGGACAUGGUUUUCGACGAUGUCAAGAUUUAGCUUUUAUUAGAUAUUGGUGGUUUGUAUUCAUGUAUUAUUAUCAUUAUUAUUAUUCAUUGUGUGUUAUUUCUCAUUAUUAAUAUUGUUCUUUUUAUAUCUCCACAUUAUUUGAGUAAAUAAAUUAUUUCAGUUUUCUAAACUCUCUGUUUCGUGAGAUUGAUUGAUCAACAUCUCUAUUCUCUCUUCACUCCAAAUUGUUUAUAAACUGUAUCAAUACUUGUGUAUAAUCGGGAAGCGGAAAUGAAGCUAGAGAGAUUCCGUCUUCACUUCCUAAACCAUUCCGUCCAAACAAGAUUUUAACUUCACAGUUCAAAAUUUGAAAUUCCAACAAAAACAACCAUCGGGAUGGCUGUGUUUGGUAAUACUAGAAAUAUGUGUAUCAUUUAUCUUCUUCGUAUUAUUAAAUAUUAUAGAGGUGUGAGGUGUAAUUAGCGUCAUAAUUAAACUACUAAUGAUGAAUGGAGUCCAAAUCCACCAUCGUCAAAACUAGAAUUAAAUGCCUCAAUUAGUGAAAGGUGAUGGGUUUUGUCUGGUAUACUCUCAUUGUCAUCUCAUUUCAAAUGGCUCUCUCAUUUAGGUUAUCAAAGAUAUAAUAACAAAGGAAAAAACUUGUAAAUUAAUGGUGGCUUGGUUAGAGAAACACCAUCCAUAGUUGAUUCAGACUCCAACGCACAUAAGGUGGUGAAAUUAAGGGAGAAUAGAGGAUGGAAGAAUUUGUGAGAAAAGAAAGGGUGCGUGGCGAAGUGUAAAUGGUGGAGAGGGACGGCCUGGCCAUGUGGGUAUAGGGAUACGCAAUAUCUCGUGUGAGAGAAGUAUCCAACUAAAUGAUGCCACGUAUCAGUGAUAUUUUAAAAGAAUCACGCGGUUUGUCUGAGAGCAUAAUACCCAAAUUAGGGUGUGUGAAUACGAACAUGAACAUGAACAUGAUCAACAAUAAUAAUAUAAUAGAUCUUAUGGGUUUGUGCAAUCCACGCCUAUGAGAUUAUUAUAUUUGUAUCUUUUCCAAUUUUCGAGAACUCCAUUCUCCAUUCUUUUUUUUUUCUUUUUUUUUCUUUUUAAUUUUUUAAAAUUUUUCGUAUGUAUCUUUCUUUUUGUGCGAUUUUGAACCAUCGUCUUUGACUUCAACAUAAUGCAUUAGUAAAGACAAAUAUAUGGUUUUGAGAAUGUGACUCUCCAAUUUUGGAAUUCUUUUGCUAAUACUGAAUGUUGCUGUUAAUAUGUAUUGAUGUAAAGUCCCAAGUGUUUAUUUUUCCAUGACAGUGCUGAAAUUAACAUAACUUAAUUCUCAUCUUGAGUGAUACAAUAUUACAAUAUUAAAUUAAUUUAAGAUAAUUGAAAUAGUGUUUGUAGUAUUGGUAUGGUAGAAAGAAAAAACCUUUGAAAUUAAACAAUUCAACUGGUUCUUUUUUCUUUAAAGACAGGUCAGGUCAGACUGUUCUCAAACUUUUCUUGAAUUUGAUUCCAAAACCUCAAUGACCAAUUCAGAAUUGAGAAUCCAUUGGAAAAAUUUGCUAUCAGAGUACCCACUCAACCAAUCUCCCACCCCUCACCCAAACUUCUUCCAAAAAACAAAGGAUAAAGGGAGAUUCAUCACAUUAUCGAAAACCCCCAGAUAUCUUCAAACUCCACUCUUCUCUAUCUUCAAAUUUCGAAAGUAAAAAAAAACCAUGUUUGUUAGAUUAUCUUAUUUAAUUUGCAUAUUACCCUGACCUCCCCCCUCCCCAUAAAAACCGUGAAAACAAACAGCAUUUUCAAGAGGAUGAAUGAAAUAGAAUGAAUAAAUAAAUCAAGAGAGGAAAGGAACAAAGAAAAAAAAUUGCCUACUUUCUCUGCUCUGCCCCUUCAAUCUACUAACCAUUUUUUAAAAAAAGGGAAUCCAUAGAGUUUGUACAUUUUAUGGUGAAUCCUCACUCAUUUCACUCUGAAUCCGACUCCAUGUUACCCAUUGCCUUCAAUCCUCUCGGUCUCUGCCAUCAAAUUUAUAAUCAAACCAUUAAUCACAACUCUCCAUUGAUUAACACAUUCAUCGAUUUCAUAUCAUUAGCUCGAGAUACUCACCUUCUUAGAAAUCUUCUUUUCCCGAACUUCAUACCGCUCGAGAGUCAGAUCUGAUAGCCAUGCCCCCGGACUCACCAGCUGCAGCAAACCAUUUCAAAAUGUUCAAACCCCAUGGAAUAAAGCAAAAGGCACCCAUAUUCAACAAUAUACAAUGCAUAAUCAGGUGAGGUAAUAAUUGUUAGGAGGUGGGUAUUCAUCAGCCAACAGCUUUGGGGCCCAAUCUAAAAAAAGCACUUUCUUUACAAAAAGAGCUAAGGGUCCCAUUUGUCACUGAUAACAUACCAAUCACCACCCUACACAUGGCUGAGCAUCAAAUGGCAUCCGAUGCAACCUCCCUUUCUAAUCGUACCAUCUCUCUUUAUUGUUCUCUUAAUUACAAUUCAUACCGUUUAACUAAUCCCACACCCUCCUCCCCCAAGUAAUUACUCUACUAAACCCCUUUUUAAAAUUUCAACACUUAUUUGUUUUAAGCCUAAUUUAAAAACAUUUAUAUAGCUAAUGAGUUUACUUUACUAUUUGAUACUGUACCGAAGUCAUCGAACAAACCUUAUCUUUAUUCUUUAAACAAGGACUUGGUUUAACUUCCUUAGUCGGUUUCAGAUUUUUUUUUUUUGUAUCAUCUUCCAUUUUCACUUUAAGUAAAGAAAACCCCUAAAGGAAUUUAUUUGUUUAUUAACUUUUUUGUUUCUAACCCUAGAAAAUUAUAGGUUUGAGAAUGCCGAGAAGACAAGGGAGUAUGAUACAAACAGCACAGCAGCCAACCUGCAAAAAAUAACCGUACACCGUGUCCUAUCCUAUACAAGAACGUGAAUCAAACGCAGCCCGUGAAAGCUGCAGUGUUGUUUUCUUAUAUGAAUAAAUUUAUUUAUUUUCUCAUAAUUUUUAUGUUAAAAAUAAAAAUAAAUAAAUAAACCCUUUUGAAAAUUUCCUAUGGCUACACAAAAAGAUAAAUGAAUUAAUAGUUAAAAGAGGAUGAGAUUAAGGGGGGGUGGGGGGCUUACGUUGACGGUGCGUUGGAUAAUCUUGGCACGUUUCUUGGGUCUUUGUGGCAAUUUAGAGCCUUUGAUGGCUAAGAAAUCCUCUUCUUUCUCUUUGUUCGUCAAAGCAAUAGCGAAUUUUGGCGGCCAUACUUGAGGCAGAGCAGCUUCCCCACUCCCACCGGAGGAAGACCCACCUUUUUUACUAUCGUGCGCCGUCUCCGAUGUAGUCCCCGAUUUAUUGUUAUUCUCAUUGUGAUGAUGAUGAUGGCUGUUGUUAUUGUUGUUGGAAUGAUGAUGGUGGUUAUUACUUCCUCCUCUUCUAUCGUGCGCCACUCUGUCUGGCGACGCAAUUCCCCUAACCCCACCGUUGCCGUGCCCUCUCAUCGCCCCCGCCGUCUCGGAGUUCCUAUUUAUUAAAAACAAAAAAACAAAAAACAAAAAACAAAAACAAAAAAAAAAGGAAAAGACGUUUUUAUGUAAGAGUAAUAUGAAAAUAAAUAAAUAAAAGUAGUAAAAAGAAACUAGAUUUAGAGAGGAAGGAAGUCAAAUUCCGAAAUUGACCUUUGAGGGGAAGGAUCUUUAAGAUCGGUGAGACAAGUAUAGCGAAUGUGGGGGAGAUGGUGAUUUUUGGGUUUCCCUUUGGAUUUGGUUUUUCUUCAAUUUUCUUUUCUCUUUUAAUUUCAAAAUAAUAUCAAAUAAAAAGUAAGAACAUAGAUGUGGGUUGUUCAUAGCCGUCCGAUUAACAUAAUUCCCUUCACCAUCGUUAAGAUUACGUGUGACGACGACGUGAAGGUCUAUUGUGACUGUACACACUCGUGGGUCCACCACACACUCUUUUCCCUAAUCCCAAAUUAGUGAUCACACGGCUCUCAUUCCUCCACACAAAAAAGCUUAUCACUAAAAUCAUUUCCAUUAUUCACAAUCAUGUGCUUAAGAUUAACAUCUUAACAUCGUCAUCGUCAUACCAUAAAAUUUAAAAUUUGGAAUAAAUACCUGAGAAUGCGGUGGUGAGGAGGGGGCAGUUGAGGAGAAGAUGGUCGUUGGCGGAGAUUCAGAUACCCAUUGGCAGGAGGACCAUGGGUCCGGUUCGGGGAGUCUUUAUCGGUUCUAACGACUCGGCGGUCGACUCGGGCGGUGGUGGUACGGUGAGCCGGAGUGGCGGGGUCGGUUUUAUCUCUGCCUUGGACCUUCAUGCAUCUAAGGCGCUUCCGGUUUCCCCACUGCAAAACAAAGUCCGAUGAUGGUGUGGUUGUUUGUCUUGUAGCAUCGGAAUUGGAUCUCAGUACGUCCACUCCGCUUCUCCCCGAUGUGUCCACUUUGUUAUUGGCGGUGCCGUUGCUAUUAUUAUUAUUAUUGGUUCUUAUGGUAUCCCUUUCCAUCAGGCUUUUAAAUAUAACUGUAAUGUGGAAUGGACGGCUAACCCAAGUUAGUUGAGGUAAUCAACCAUGGUUAAAUCUCCAUAAAGUAAAACAAAGAAAGAGGGAAAAUGGAGGAAUUGUGUUGGAUUUUGCAAUCAACCCCCCACAUGGCCUAAUUAGCGAAAACAGGUAAACAAAGAUGAACCUUCUCCAGCUAUUUCCGAGUUCAGAUAAACUCAUAAUCGCGAGAGCUUGUGAGGGAUUUAAUUAUGCAAGAUCAAGGUCAGAAAAAACUUUUCAUUACAAGAAGGAAAAUGAGGAGGUUUUUUCUUUUCGAUUUGAUAUUAGAUCUAAACCCAGAAAUCCAAUGAUAGGUAAUGCAUUCACAAAAUCAAAAAAGAUAAGAGCAUCUGGGAAAAUUCGUCUGCUGAUUGCGAAUCUGAACAACAAAUCAAACUCGCAUCUUUCCAUCAUAGAAAGAAAUCCAAUUGAGAGGAAAAUCCUGUCCGUGAACAUUUUUGGAGAUGGAAAUUUCUGAAGCCAUACACAGAGGAAAGGUUUUCAUUUUCUCCAUCAACAUAUGAAUUUUAAAAAUUUAAUAAAAACUCUCUGAUUCUUCGAAAUGAAGAAGAGAUGAACAAUGGAAGGAGUAGGAUAGUCUCUUUAGAGAGAGUAGAAAAUGGAGGUGAAUAAAAUUUGAUGCAUUACCUGAAAAACCUGAACUGAAGCAAACAAAAACCAGUGCGCAAAAUCAAAAGGGAAGCGUAGGAAGGCGACUGAUGCCAUGAGAUGAAGAAUAACGAAGAAUCAAAAUAAUCCCCUCUGCCCCAAACCACCGAAUGGAGGAAAAAACGAAAGAAGCCACAGUACAAAAAACAACUGCACAUCAAACUCUCGAACUAAAUCUCAAAAACCCAGUUGAAUAUAUACGAUCUACGAUUCAGGAUAAUUUUCUUUACCUGUGAUUCAAAGAAAUUCCCAACCAGAUGGUCGCUUCUUUUACUCUUCAGACUAAGCGAAAAUGCGAAUCAGAAACCAAAUUGCAACGACGGAGUUCCAUCGCUCAGAGUUCUCUUCUUCGACUAUCGAACAACAGCCCUGUUUCCACCAUCUCCAAUCUUUCCAACAGUUUGGAUUUUCUUCAGACAAACUAAAAAAUCCGUUUAAAAAAAUGCAUCUGAAAUGAACAAACAGAUUACAGAAAAUCAAUAAACGGAGUCAUUCCACAACCAAAAACACAAAUAACUAACAACCCAGUGAAAGGAAUUUCUCACAAAUUUGCAAGCCUCUGUAAACUUCAAGACGUCCCCCAGAUGAUUACAAAUGAAAAGGAAUCGAUUGGGUAAAUAAGAGAGCAAAAUUCGCUUGUAAAUCAAAUCCACUCCGAAUUUGUUCAACUAGAAAUUCCCAAAUGUAUUCGUGAAAAAACAAAAACAAAAACAGUCACGCCUGUUUAAUUAUUUCUUUAAACAGAUCAAUUCCAAAAGACGGAGAAAAAUUGAAGCAAGGAGCGAAAUUGUUCGACCCACAAGCUUGUUUACAAAUGAGAGAUCCUCAGCAUUCCAGACUAGAAUUGAGAACACUAAACUUCGUUCCGAUUAGAGAACAAUAACAAGGAAAAAACAAAACAGAAGAGAAUUUGAAAGAACGCCAGAAGAACUGGAGAGAGCUUUCUUCUUCCUUCUCCUUCUCCUUCUCCUUCUUCUUCUUCUUCGUUUCUUGUUCUUCUUCUUCGUCCCUCCUUUUCAACAAAUACAAAACACACCCUAUGAAACGGAAUUUUAUACCCUCAUUACAGAUUGAAUCGCACACUUGCUUUCUCCGCCGUUCAUCAUACAUCAAACGACUAUCCUUUCAUCUCACCAUCCUUCUCUCUCAGUGCCCGCGUUACGGCGUCGUAUCAUGUUUUGGUUUUCCUAACCCUUUUUUGUUUUCCUUUCUCACGGCCUUUAUUGACGUCAAACGGAAUCUUCAACGCCGUCAAGUUUUUUAUUAUUAUUUUCGCGGGGGGGAAAUUAAAUGUGGUUUCCUUUGUUUCGGUUGGGUGCGACGGCCCAUUUGGGUGAGACCAAUGGGUUGGGUUUGGGUCCGCUUUCGAACGUUAACCGUGGUUAAUUAUGUAACCACGGUGGAUGAGUGAAAAAGGAGAUGGUAUCCACUGUGACCCUCCCUAUUAUCCUAUCUAUGUGCUGGAGAUAUCUAUUUAAGAUUUAACAUAUUUUCCUAUUUAAAUUCAAUUUCUUUACCUUUUCUUUUUCUUAAUUUCUAAUUUUAAAAAAAUUACAAGAUGUUUACUGCAAUAUGUGGAGAAGUAGUAGUUUAUAAACUUCAACAAUAUUGGCUUACUUUGGUUUUUACUAUUUUAUUAUUAUUGGUAUUCUAAAUUCAAAUAGAAAAUAUCUGUUUCACCAACUCUAACAAAAAUGUAUUGGAUUUUAAGUUACAUUGUUCUUUACUAUUAAUUUAGUCAUUUUGUGUAUAUACCAAUAUUCGAAACUAGGAGUAGAAACGUUGAUCCAAGGUCUUUUUCUUUUUUUUUUUCAUUAGAAGAAGCUUGCAAUAUUAAAAUAGGUUUUUAUAUUAUAUAGUAAUACUUACGUGCAUUUAUCUUCACCAUUCACAUAUGAAACAUAUUCAAAUAUUCUAUAAAUAAAUAAAUAAAAUCAAACCGUAUUGUAACGAGUUAUUAUUUUACAAUUUGAUGAGAUGCAUAAAGAUAGGUGAUGCUCAAGAUGCGCCCAAAUAUAUAUAUAUCUUUUAUAUACACAAUUUUCUUAUUUUAAAUUUUGGCAUGAUCCAUAGGACAAGUUGUAUGUUGAAAAAUGUUUAGCUUGACCCGGAAAAAAAUUUCUUCCAAAAAGUCAUUUAUUUUUAAGCAUUACAUAUAUAUAUAUAUAUAUAUAUAUAUAUAUAUAUAUAUAUAUAUAUAUAUAAAAAAAAAGAAUGGUGAUGUCUUUAGUUACAUUUUCUCAAAAUAGUAUUUUUAUACCAAGCUUUUUUUAAAAUUUAUUGUACACUUAAAAUAAUAAUGUGAAAGAAGACUAAAUAUUGAAGACUAUGAAUUGGACACUUAAAUGAGUUAGGAAGUUUAAAGUAACUCUUACCUCCAUUUUCUUUAACAUAUUUGGUGGUCGUAUUUAAAAAUAUUAUAUAGACUAAAGUUUCACAUUUUAAAAUCUUUUAAAUGAAUUUUUUAUAUAUAUAAAAAAAAAAGUUAUAAUUUUUAACUAUUUAGUUUACUAUCUUACUUCAUGUUUAUUAUGAUUGUCUCAUUUUCAUAAUUGAAAAACAUAUAUCAUUUGAUUAAUUAUAUUUAAAUUAAAAUGAGUCAACAAAUUAUGUCUUUUUAACAAGAAUGACGUAACGUUAUAUUUUAAUUCAAAAACAUUUACGAAAAAAUGUGAUAAUGAAUUAAUUCAUCUUUUUUUUAGAAAUGUUUGUACGAUUUGGCUUAUUUUGAUUUGCUUUGGAUCUUUGUUGGAGUUUAAAGCAUGCUUGUAGUUUUUGAAGAUUGUAAUUUUAAGUCACGGUUGGUGCAUCCAUGGAGAGGCAUUUUUUCUUUUGUUUAGGAUAGUUAAUGUUUUUUUUUUAUUAGUAACGAGUGAUAUUGUUUGAUUUUGAUAUGUAACAUUGGUUCUAAUUGCUUGGGGUUGGUAUUGAGGAAACCCUAAAGGGCUAUUCUCUAUUUAGACUUUGUCUUCAUUUAUAUGUACUUUAUUUUUUUUGGUAAAUUUUUUUACAUUAUUCAUUUUUCCUUUAUGUCUUGUUGAUUUGUGUCUUAGCUUUAAGGUCAUUUUUCCUUUUCAGCAGUCCAAUACAAUUGGAGGAAAAAAAUUAGAUAAAAGAGAUAAAUUUUGUCUUAUAUCUCAUUUCUAUCUUUUUUUUUUUUCUUUAUUUUGUUUCAAGAGUUAUACCAAGACUGUGGUAGAUAUUUGAAUUUCGACAUAUUGGUUGACUUAGUUGACUCAAGGAACAAUUUGUUGCGCGAGUACACGAUGCUUGAUAUAUUACUCAAUUUUGACAUCAACAUUUCAUCUCAAAUCACUUAGAAUCACACAUCAACAAUAUACAUAUGUCUUAAUUGAAUUGAACUAUGUUAUCGAUGAAAUUGUUUUUAGCAUUUAAGUAUAUAUUUUUAUUUUUUUAGUAUAAUAGCUUCAAAAUAGAAUAGUAUUUCUCACUUUACUAUUUAAUUGCUACAACUUUAAUUAGUAUCUUAAAUUCUCCUCUUUAUAUUACAUUAUAGAAUGUUUACUAUUUUAUCAAAUUAAAAUUAUUUUACACUACAAAUACAUGUUAUUAAUUAUAAUCCAAAGUAAAAUGAUUCACACCUCAAAUUACAAACUAUCAUAGCUCAACUAUAAUAACUUAAGAUGAUAACAAUCUCCCUUGCUCCAAACACUCCAAAAAUAUUAUAAGAAGAUUAUAGGUAGUUUAGAAAUUCUAGAAGGAGAUUAUCAACCAUGUAUAAUACUCAUAUUUAUAAUUGAUGAGGAUGAGAUCUCAACCGUCCAAAGUUUGUUGUCAUUUUUCUAUUAAUUCGACAUCACCAAUCCAUCCCAUUUAGCUUGUCAUGUGAGGAUUUUUUUUUUGUGUGAGUAAUGAGAAAAAGAUGUACAAAGAUGAUUAUUGUUUCGAGUGCACCAAAGAUCAAGUAUUACUUUUCCUCUAACAAGAGUAUAUUAAUUUAAACUAUCCGUACUAACGAUUUACAUCCUCUCAAAAUCACUAAAUUUUCUUCCUAAACCAACCAAUUCAAACAUUUGAUUAUAACAACUUUCAACAUCCUAGCAUGUAUUACAAUUAGAAGAUAUGAAAGUUUAGAAUAUUAUAUCAGUAAUCAUUAUGUAUUUAUAUUUUCCUUAAUUCUUCCAUAUUUCUCCCUCACAUACAUCAAAUUUUGCUAUGCUUCUUUCUAACUUUGUUUUAUGAUAUAACUUUCUGACCCAAAAUAUAUAUUUACUACAAACAAAAUCAAUUUUAUUUCAACAUCUUUCCCUAAUAACAGCCGGUAGCCUUGAACUACUACUUCCCGGCCACAGUCAUGGCCUGACCGACGACGGAGAAAAUGGCAAAAUGACAUUAUUAAUCACUUUAGUUUGGUGUUCAUUGUUUUGGGGUUUGUAAGAAGUGGCAAACGACGGUGCAGUCGUCUUGUUUUGAAGAAGGCCAGCGUUUCCAAGCCUCUGUCGCCGCAUCCACCACCGCUUUCGCCGCCGCUUCUUCACUCUCCGCCGCCCAAACGAUGGACGCUACUUCGUCGUUGCUCAGCACAUCCCAUAUCUGAGAAUAAUCGAAAAACCCCACAUCUCAAAAUUACUAAAUUUGCUAAUUAAUUUGAUUUUUUUUAAAAUCUACGGAAUGAAAUAUGUUUCUCUCUUUUUCUUGCUUUAAAUGAAUAAAGUAGUUAUUUAUUGCAUUUAAAAAUCAAAGUCAACAAUUUUUUUGAACAUAAUAGGAGAUGAAGUAAAUUAAAACCAUGGGAAUCUUGGAGAACUAUCGAAAAAAAAAAGAAAAGAGAAGAGAGGAUUACCCCAUCAGUGGCGAGAACGAUGAAGCGAUCGAGAGAAGUGAGAGGGCGGAAGGAGACAUCAGGGAGAUUAAUAAUGCCAUAAUCUUUAAGAGCAAAAUCACCAAAAGCUCUUGACAUAGCCAGCCCCGGUGAGUCUUCGUUGGGGAGCCACACUCUUUGUAUAUGAGCUUCGUCUUUCAGCGCCAAGACUCUCCCUUUACAUCUUCUUAUUCGCUCACCCUCACUCUCCAAUCCAGGCUUUAAAUCUGUAGUUAACUGAACGGCUUUGAUUCCUCCAUCCUCCCUCAUCCUCCCCAUCACCGCCCUUGAAUCUCCCAAAUUCCCAAUCACCAAAUAAUCUUCCUGUUUUCAACAUAUCAUUCAUUAUCAUCUCCCCUUUAAUUUGUUUUUUAAAAAACGAGAAGAAGAAAAGAAAAAAAAUGAAAACAUUAUUAUGUAACAGGAUCUUAAUCAUUACCUGUUUGACCAUAACAACAGCGGUUGAUCCACUGCAAGAGCCAUCCAAAUUCUCUUGGAGUUUGAUCUCUUUAUCCAUAACCUUGAAGGAAGUUUCAAAAGCUUCUUUCCAUGCAUUGAAACUCUUCCUCUUCACCAAGCUUGACUUAGCAGUUACCUCCCCAAGCAAUAAUGAAGGCAAUCUAUUCUUCACUAAAUUGCUCACAAUAUGACCAUUUGGUCCAUGCCCAUCAAAAACUCCAAACAAAUCACUCUCUUCAACUUCUCCAUACUCCUAAUUCACAAAACAAACACACAAAUUUAAUAAUUCUAAAUACGUAAUAAUUAAAACAAACAAAUCUAAUUAAAUUACCUGAUAUGCAAAAGCAGCAUCUUGAUUGAUUCCUUUGCUGCCUUGCUUAGAACAAAUGGAUUCGAGUUUCUGAAUCCCGCAAACAGAAUAACAUGACUUAUAAUGAUCUUCUUCAAUAAUAAUACUUCCAACUUUGUUAGUUUCAUGGCGAAUCUGAGAAGAUGCAGAGGAUAUACAGAUUCCCAUUGUCAAAGGUGUGUGAGGAGGGGAAGUUUGAAGAAAUGACAAUGUCCUUUGCCUUUAAAUCAAUAAAUUGAAUGGGUCCUACAUGGGCAGAUUAGCAAAUUAAUCAGUUAUAUUAUAUAGUUUUAGCAGCUGCCCGUUGACUCAGAAUCAUUCACUUGCCUUUGAGUAAUUCAUAAUUUAUAAUGGAACCAACAAAGAAUAUACAAACUUUGGCCAUCUCAACACUCUACCCAAUAGGCAAUAACCCACAAACCAAAAUAGAUCAUAGAGAAGAAAAAUCUUAAAUCUUUGGCUGUUUAUUAAAAAAAAAAAAACACCCUUCUUGGUAAUAAUUAAAAAGUAACUAUAUAUCAUCCUCAACUUUUUACAAACAAGAAAUUCGUUACGAGUUUGGAUGAAAUUUCAAAUGUAGAAUAAAGAGGUAGUGAGAUAAUUUAACAUGGUUGUGAUGAAGUUGGAAAAAACCUUCACUACUAACAAUAUAAACAAAUAUUUCCUUGAUUCUUAUAAGAGAAUUCUCCAAUAACAUUAUAUCACUAAUCCCCAUAGUUAGUUUAAUAAACUUAAAAUACUAAAAUCGGUUUUGAACUUUUUUAACAUGGAGAACUACACUUCUAAUAAUUUGUCAACUCCAACGCUACGUUAUUAUAGGAUUGUGGUUUUAGUUUCCGAGUCUCCUUCAACAUUUUUAUGAAUUUAUAUCGUAAUGUAUUUUUCAACCCAUUAAAAAAAGGUUUUUCUAAAAAAUUCAUGAUAAAAAUUAGUUUUUUUUCUUGUUUGCAAUUUAAUAACAAGGAAAAUCCAUAUGCUGAGUAGUUGUAGAGUCUGAAGCGAUGAAUGGUUGACCAAGCAAACAAAUUAUUGUUAUUAUUAAUAUUACUUUUAGCUUCUUCUUCUUUUUAAUUUUAAUUUUGGGAGAGAAACUUAAAAAGUAGGGAAUGGAAUUUCUUGUGGAGAAGAGUGAUUGUGGGAGAGACGAAGGGCCAAUUUUAAUCAAUAGUAAAAUAAUUUCCAAUUAAUACAUGAAUUAAUUAUCAUUAAUCAAAUAUUAGUUAUUAUAAACACAUUGCAAAUUAAAUUAAGUAAAGUUCGAAAAAGGGACCCACCAGGCACCUGCUUGGAUAAAGGAGAACCGUCGGAUGAAGAUGGUGAUUAGAAUCUCUUGAAAUUGGAGAUGACGUGGAUCCAUUGUCAAAUACUAUUGGAAAUUCCACCAAAGUAUGAGGAUGGGGUUCCGGGUCCCACCUUCCCACUACAAUGGAUCUCAUCUCAUCUUACGUCACCAUUUUAAAAAAAAAUUAAUUAUUCAUUAUACUUUUUUAUUUCCUUUAAUUGAAUCUCACAGAAGGUAAAUUUGGUUAAAAUCUUUUCAAUCAUUUUUUGGAUAAACAUUGGAUCUCUUAUUUAUUUUCAACCAUUUUUGUUUGUUUUUAAUUUGUUUUUGUUUUUAGAUUUGAUGCCCUUCCAAAUAUUUUACCAUAGUAUUGGUCGGUGAAACUCGGGCCUUGAUCGUUUUUUGGUCCGUUCCUUUCGCAGUGUUGGAACUAACGAGCGUUUUUUGGUCCGUUCCUUUCGCAGCGUUGGAACUAACGUACGCAAAAAUGUUUGUAAUAGAGUAGUGUUGCGUUGAGCAUAUUUUGAAUUUGAUGUUUAAGUUAAUAUAAAAAGAGUUACUUAGCUUAGCUAAGCACAUGAAGAGUUACUUAUAUGCUAUAUCGACGAUGUCAAAGUGGGUAUGACUUUCAAGAUUGUAGAAUGCCAACGAGCAAAGACAAAAGUGUUUGUCAACUUGAAAUUGUAAGAAACGUUUUCCAAGUAAGAACUUAAAAUUGUAAGAAACAAAUCCACGGUUCAAAAAUUAAAUAAAAUUUAUUAAAAAAGAUCUAAACUUUUAAAUUUAUUAUGUUUUAAAGUUUAAGGACUUAAAAUAGACAUUUAAAAUUUAAAACUAAAACGAAAAAUUAAUACAACCUCCAAAGUAAAAAAAUUUAUAAGGUUAAAAUAGGGAUAUGGCCAAUAUGAUUUAUAAUAAGAAGCGUGGUAAUUUUGUAUCUAUCAAAAUCGUAAUCAAAACAUAAAUUAAUUAUAAUUAGAGACGGAGGUGGUUAUAAUUAUAACUUAUAAGGAGAUUAACUUUAUGUUCAUGUGAAAGGGCAAUGGUGUAGCUUUUGGGAUUAUCAGAGAGCUUUUCUUUUUCUUCUUCCUAUCUGGUUGAAGGUUGAUCACAUUACACGAAGAGAUGUCCCCAAAUUCAAAAGUUGACUUAUAUCAAUAAAUUUUGUAAUAAUAUUUCUAUCAUUUUCAGGAAAUUAUAAAACACACCAAUUAUUGAAUCAGUUUGCCAAGUGGGAAUCUAUCAAUCGUUAGAAUAAGCUUUUAGAAUCUAUAAAUCAAUACAAAAAAAUAUUCAUCUCUUUCCUGAUCUCAGCAAUGAAAGUCAACUUUUCUAAUACCCAAAUGGCACCAACAGGAAGUAAUAUGAUCCAUCAAAAUAUGACAUUUGGAGCACAUAAUCUGAACAUGACAAAGAUUCAUAUCAUACCAUAAGACCGUUGUCUCUCUCGUAGUAGACUUGAUGUUAUGUACAUUAAAAGAAAACUUAAUCUGUCGCCAGAAAAAGAUUAAAAAAAAAAUCAGUCUACAGAUGAACAAGUGAGGUACCAUUAAGCUACAACAACAUCCAUGUUUCCAUUGUCGUUUCACUGGCUUGUAACAGGGACAACUUCGUUUGGAGGGGCGGUAUCAGCGGGAGGCAAUUUCUUUGUAAGAGGCUUUGGUAUAUCGAGAUCAUCUAGCGAUAUUCGUUGCUGGGGGUGUGAUAACAACAGACACAUACAACGGUAAAGAACACGUGCAACUCCCUGGCCACUCUCGAAAAUAUAGCCUUCAUACUGGCUAACAUGAUCAAGGGCAUCAACUAAAGCAUCAUACACCUCUUGUGGGCAGUUGUCAGGUCCAGGCUUCUCAUGGAGGUAUAUAACAUCAAAAGUGAAGAGUUUUUGGUUCGCAGGCCACUGAUGUUGGGGCUGUGUCGAUGAUCUGCAAUAAAUAAGAAUCUAAAUGCAACAAAUGAUUAUGAUGCAUCCAUAUAAUCUUCCAAACAUACAUUGGAACAUUAGAGGUUCAAGGUCGGAUAAUCUAGGCUCACUCAUAGAUUCAUAUAACAGAUAAAAAUUUGAGCUGAUUUCGCAGAUUAGGACUAUAGGUAUAAUGAGAAUACCAGUCGUAGAAUUCGAUUUUGGGCGGUUGAUUUUCUUGAUUCGUGAGCAGCUAAUCGGAAAAGACUGGUAAGAUCGGCAUGAUUGCAAGGGGAAGUAGCACCAAGUCCCCUGACUGCAGCCUCUGCAGAUGCAAUAUCACUGCUAAACUCCUUUUUUAGCUUCAUUUACAAAAACUUUGGAUUAGAACCAGAUAUGUCGUUUAACAAGAAUGCUAUAAAAGAAUUAGGCUCUCCUAUGCAGAAGCUUGAAUAACAUUUCCAUCCAUUCAGAGGUUUAGCAACUUACCGUGUCAUAAAGAGUGCAAGAGUAACAGUGCAUUUAUAACUCAGUUAAAUGAACCUCAACCAAUUACUAGUUAUGCCUCCAAAAUGUUGAGUCAUGAAGAUAAUUCUUUUAGUUUAGUAAUAAGAAAAGACUGAUAAGUAAAUAUAAAGAGAAAUGAAUGACAAACAGUGAAGGGCAAGAGUGAUGGGAGCUAUAGAAGUGAAGUGACAGCCCAAUCUUUCUUGCGUGGUUAGUGCAGACAACUAAGGUUCGGUUUGGGAGGGUUCCAGAUUUGUUUUUCUGUUCAAUAGCAGUUGAUCAUAGAGUGCGGUAGUUAAGAAUUCAAGAAACAACGAUUUAAGGAGAAAUCAGCUGCAAGCAACCGGAAUCACCAUGCUCAUCUCCAAGUUCCACCGCCCAAAAAACUUCUUCAAAAGAAAAAUGACUCUAAAAGUGGAUAGUUGGAGAUAUUUCCUUCUCUUUUCCCCACAUAAAAUAUCAUCAGUAUUGUCACCCUUUCACAAUCUAAUUCUAAUACUGAAGCACAUGUUUUGUUCUGGAUCAGCACAUAUUAACAUCAUACUGACAAUAUCAAAACAAUGACUCUCAGUAAGAGUUAACAAAGUGGAAGGGAAAUUGUUAGAUCAGCACGGUCAAGUUAUAUUCUUCAAAUCAAAGAUGCAAAAUUGACAAUGGUUAGAUCAGAAAGUUUGUGGUACAAAACUUCAACUAUUAGUCGGAAAUCAGAUACUGUUUGGAUCAGCAAGUUUGUGUUAUAUCCUUCUAUUCAAAUCUGGACUAACAAGAUGAGCGAAUAACGGACCUUCUCAUUUUAUGCCCCACAGCGUGAACAAGAAAGGGGGACCUAAGAGCUUAAUCACAUUCACACAAAACAAAAUCUUAAAGUUCCCAAGCCAGAGGAGUGAUCAUUUGAGGAACAGAAUCCCUCAAUAAUCUAUUGAAUAAGAUGUUUGGAUCAGGGAAAAAAAAAGAACUCAGGUAUAAUCUCCAAUACAUGCCACAUACAAACUCAAACCUGCAGAAGAAUUUAAACUACGAGUUUCCAACCAUGGAAUAAUCCAAUAUUUCUCUACACCACAUGAAGUGUUCUAUAUGUUAAGGCAGGUAAAUAGGAAUUGAGUUCCCCAAUCUAGGUAAAUGAGUAGAAUGAUGCAGAAAAUAUAAACUCCCCUAAAAACUAAAAUUAGCCUUGAACCAAAAACAGACAGAAAUCACAGAAAUCCAGUAAUCCAAAACCUACAUUUCUGAAUGAAGAAAGCAAAAUCAACAAGAUGGGGGGAUUACCCAAAUGGCAGAUUUGGCGAUGGUGGUGAAAGCAAAUCGAUGGUCAGGAUUCAUGGAGAGUUUGGCGUGGACAAAUAGAAGAAUUGCUUGCUUAAUGGAGUCCAUUCUGGUGAUGGGUCGUCCAUUAGAGCCGGUGGUUUUGAUCUCAACGGAAGAUUCAGGGUUCACAUCUAUGCAGAAGAGAAUGUCUUCGUUGUUUAAUCUCGAUGAUUUCAGCGAGUAUCCACUUCCUCCUCUCUCAACUUCGAUUGCUUCCAUGGUUAUUCAGCGUCGAUUUUUGAAAAUUGGAAUACAAAGAUCAGCGUUUGGUGCCUUGUGGAGCUAAUUGUUUCAGAACUUAAAUUGGGGAUUUACUGUUUCCUUUUCUAUUUCGAGGGCAUGUAGAAGAAGACCAUAUUUAUAAGUAGACGGUUUUGAGCUGGAUACGAUUCCACAACACCAUUCUAUUCAGCAGUCAUAUCAACUAAAUUCUCAUUCAAAUUCCUACUUUUAUCCUUUACACAUUUUCAUCCGGCCCUAAAAACAUCAAUUUUAAACUUUAUCAACGUUUUACAUAGUGAAUUUCCAAAUUUCAUAACACAUAUUUCAAAUAACUUUUUUUUAACUCAAAUCAACUCAAAAAUCAAACCGUUUAUAAAUUAAAUUGAAAAUUGAAAUUAAAGAGAUAGUUUAAUAAUUUAUCAUUACCAUAAUUAUUUUGUUACAUUUAAAAAAAUAAUAUAAAAAGUUCAUUUGAGAGACGUGAUUAGGAUGAUAUGCUUGUUUAUAAGCAAAUUUCAUGUUAUUUAGUAGUUAUAGUCACUUGAUAUCAUAGAAGUUGUAUGGACUCAUCUACUAGUUUAUUAACCAUAGUUACUUUACAACAUUUCUUGUAUUGAUUUAUUCCUUUUAAGUAUUGAGACUAAAAAACACGAAAUGAACAAAAACCACGAAUCUCUUCUCGAAAUGUUGUAAAGUAACUUUGGAAAAUGAGUUCUAAAUUUUGAGAUUUAAGAAAUAAUUAGUUAACAAUAAAAAUAAAGAUCGGAGUUGAUAAUAAGAUAACUGAGUUAACACAAAUGAGAAGCGAGAAAUGUGGGUGUUAGUGAAUAAUAUGAGUUAGAUUUCCGGUUGCCAUCAUCCCCUUAGGGUUAGGUUAAAAGAAAUAAAAGAAAAACGUCUCUCAGCGGCGACAUCUCGUUACGCACUCUCUCUACCUUUCGCGCCUCCCGAUCUCUCGCGCCCAUCAACGUUACCUCUUGCUCCGCCUUCUCCGACGCCUACACGCCGCCGGCUACUGCAGGUCCGUUUCUCUCUCUCUCUCUCCCCCUGCGUGAUUUGGUGCAUAGCUUUCGUUCAUUCAGUAUUUUUGUUCUCUACCUCACAGCACUCUCUGUAUCCUCUGUGUUUCUCUCCUGCAGCUGCAACCGGAAGCUACCAGUCACCACCGUUCAGACGACGUCCGACAUCCCUCAGGACAGUAGCCAGUCCGUUGCCCAGCAAGUGUUUUGCACGUCAGUCUAGGUGCGGUGUUUCCUUCUAGUUUCUGAACUAUUCUCGCUAUAUUGAUUAUUCACUCUGUGGUGGGCUUUAUAUUCACAAAUCCGAGGAGUUUUAGCUAAAUGACUAUUACAAGGCUCUGAACUCGUCUUUGAAUUUACUAUCUAAUGUUACUUUAGAGUUAUAAACCUUGAAUUUUCCUUGUGCUUAGAAUUGGGCGGUUCGUUGAGGUUAAGAAACUAAUUUUGGAAUGGAUAUCGGGGAAAUUUUCUAGUCACCAUGGGAGAAAUGAAAAUGUUAAAGUAGUUUGGGUCUCCAAAAGCUUGACAAUAAAUGGAAUUAUGUUGGUAAGAUUGGAUGCAGAUUUUCGGAAACUGAAAGCAAAUUGAUUUUGUUGGAUUUUUUUUUUUUUUUUUUUUUGAGCUCAGUGAAUUUAUAACCGGAAAACCAUCCUAGGUUCGGGUUGGUUUGAUGAUAAUUUUGGCCUCAAACCAAAUAUGAUCGCAAUUAGCCCACAUACCAGAACUGAUAUACAUCAUUCAGUUUUCCCAUAAUUGAUGCACUGCACAAAUUCACGUUUUAAUGUUCGGUACCUAGUACCGAGUCUGAGGAGUUUACUAUGACGAGUAGUUGAAUUAGUCUGCUGUAGGAUGGGUUAAUUGUUCAGACUCCACUAAGACGACAAUACCAGAUUAGUAGUAGAUUAAUCAGUUUAGGUUUAUUAGUUACAGUCUUCCAGUUCAUGUUGCAUUGGGACGCAUGGCAUAAGUCUAGUGACGUUAUGUUCCAGUUCUAUUUUCUUAGAAACUAUGUUCUGUACUCUUUGAGUUUUUUCCCUCUAAAUGUAUAAUUUUGUUCUCAAUUUAGAAUGAGUUUAUUGGUUGUUUUUAGCUGGGAUCCCAAGAUAAAGUUUAUUUAAUUUUUCAAUUAUACUUUGAGGUUUUCAAUUUCAAGCGUCAUGCAUGCACUGAUGCACAUAUUGUAGAUCAGGUCUUAGACAUAUUGUAGAUCAGAUCUUAGAAAGUUGCGUCAUGACCGGUGCUCUAGGAUUAGUUCUAAGAUUUUGAACCCUUCGUGCAGCUGAUCUUAUUGUAUAAAUGCCAAAGAAGAAAUCUUCUAAAACGCCUAAAAAGAUCCCAGAGAAUGCCUCUACGAAACAGGAGAAGUCCAAUGCCGUGGUAAAAGGUGAAAAUCCCAAUUCCGUAGUGAAAGAGGAAAAGCCCCCAUCAGUAAAGAAACACAGUGAGAUCGAUGAAAUUUUUGCUGGGAAGAAGAGGAAAAAGCCCGAAGUUGGGAAGACCGAGGAGCCAAAACUAGAUGCACAAGACAGACCGAAAAAGACAAAGAACAAGAAAAAGGAUGAAGCUCAAUCCAGAAAUGGAUUUGCAGACCCACAAUCGCGGCGAAGAAAGAAAACUGGGGAUGGGCUUACAAUUUACACCGAAGAGGAACUGGGUUUUGGCAAUGCAGAUGCUGGAGGCACCCCGCUCUGCCCAUUUGACUGUAAUUGUUGCUUCUAAACAUCCUCAAUGUUCGAUUUUGAUCAAGAGGUCGUUUCUCUAUCUAGUAAAACAUCUGUUACAUCUUCCAUUUCUGUGAAUCAAUUUUUCCAAUUUUAUUGAGCAGUUUAUUUGUUUCCAUAACGGCUGUGCAUUGGAGGCGAUCAUCAUUUUAGAUUAUAUAAUUAUGAAGCACAGAAAAGUAUAAAAUUUUGAAGGUCUUGAUGGAAUUGUUGUUGACACGACAGUACAGACCAUUCUGUUAUUUGGUUUCUUAAGACCUGUUCAACAACAUAAAGUCGAUUGCACCUUGUGAACAGAAUUCUAAAGAGAAAAUGCAGUAGAUAGUUUGGUUCAUUAGAAUCUGAAAUUUAAAUUUCUAUCUACCACUUCUGUUUCACAAACAAACUUGGGUUACUUAUCUAAUAAACGAGAUCCAGUGGUAUGUUCUUCAUUUAUUUUGUUCUGUUAAAGGGGCACCAAUUUCUCAAUUGUAUUAAGUUUGUGAUAAUUUUCUAUUUAAAUUGACUCAGAUUUUGAUUUUUUUUAUAUAAUUAAAUUAAGCAAUUUAAAUUGAGGUUUCAUAAAGAUUUGGAUUUAAUUUCAUCAAGAAUUGGCUUUUUUUUCUAAAUACAAAGUAGAGUGAGCUUUGAAAUCAAAUAUUACACAACAGUUAUUGCGCAAUUAAGAAUUAGUUUCAUUUAUGAGGAAAUAAGAAGAAAAGGAGAGUAUGCCUACAAAGUUUAUGUGUUGCGAUAAAUUGACAGCAAGGGGAUGGAAGAUCACAUUUCAAACCUAUGUCCCAACUGAGGCUUUUCAGAACUCUAAAACCAUUAACAGUUAUGAAAUCAAAUAUUAAGCAACACUUAUAACGCAAGAUAUUAUCCCAUUCAUUUUCCAUUUAUUUUCUGAGAAGCAACUGUGAAAGAUGAUAGGCAAGAAUCCCAUGAUGAGUCUCUCAUCCAGAUUGUUCCAACAAAUGAAAAGGCGUCAUCUGAGACUACACAAGCAACAACAAAAAGUGAGAUAGUCCAAUCAAAUGAUAAUAGCAGAUUAGAGGAUAAGGAUUCUUUGUAAAUGUUGAAAUCAUUCUAACAAAAAAACCAAAAAAUCGUAUUUGCAAAUCAGCUUCUGUAAAACAAGAACAGAUUUACUAAGCUAAACAAGAACAGUAGCUUGAAAAUUUCACUGCUUGAAAUUUGAAGGAUACCAUAUAAAAUAAUAAUAGAUUCCCCCAAUCGUGUUCAGUAGCUCAAUAUAGGCACCGUGCAAAAGGUUGUUUGUUGUAAGAUUAAUGAACAAACACCCGUGUCUGAAUUUAAUGCCCAUUCAAACUCUAAUUCAAAAACCCUACACAGACCUAAUUGCAGAUGAUGGGGAUUAGAAAUUUUUAAAAAAUGUCGACCGGGCAUUGUGUCUUAAAACGAUUAAGUUUUAAGGAUCUUCUUCCGGUAACAAAAUAUCGGCUCCAUGCGGCAGACGGAUCGCCAUUAAAACGGCGCCUGCUGCUGACUCGAUGAUAGAGCCAAUUCAGAUUAACCAACCCAUUUCAUCGAAUUUUUUAAAGAGAAAGCAAAUAAACGAUUCAAGAUAUCAAACGCAUUUCUCUUGGAUUGAAGGAGAAGACAAUGAAAAUCAAAACAAAUCGGAAAUUAAAGUGACAGAAGAAGGAGAUAAUCUCAGGACGGACGGAAGACAAUUCAAAAGCUGCGGUUCAGCUGAAAUUUAUAGAGGAUAUUUGUGAAGAAACCCUAAAUUCUGAUUGUGAGUUUAUCGAAAAGACCGGAGAGGAAAGCCCAUUGUGUGAGGCCCAAACUAAAUGACCUGGGCCUUUUUUAGUUUCAGCCCAAAGGGAUGCGACACGUCGUUUCACUUUCUAUAUAGAGCCAAGAGCGUGCCACGUCAACAGACGACGUCGGUUAGUAGGAAUAAUACCGAUUUGCGGAUUUAAGAAUUGUUCAUUUCGGUUUGUAUCGGAAGUUCUGAAUCUUGAUCCGUGGGAAUGGCCGCUGUGAGCCGAGCUUCCACUCGAAUCCCUCAUCUGCUUGCUGCACGGGGAGCUUUGUCUCUUCAUACCACAGCUCCGGCUUUGUCUUCCUCAUCCACUGCUUCUCCGACGCCGUAUGCGAGGCCGCUGCCUCCUUCGGCCUCGUCCCCGACGGGGCUUCCGAAGGCGGCUGAGUAUGUCAUCUCGAAGGUUGACGACCUCAUGAACUGGGCUCGCCGUGGUUCUAUCUGGCCUAUGACUUUCGGCCUUGCUUGUUGCGCUGUUGAAAUGAUGCACACCGGUGCUGCCCGCUAUGACCUCGAUCGCUUUGGUGUCAUCUUUCGUCCUAGCCCUAGGCAAUCUGAUUGUAUGAUUGUCGCCGGUACCCUCACCAACAAGAUGGCUCCAGCUCUUCGCAAGUUAGUUCUCUCCAUUAAAUAAAGCUUGUUGAUUCCUGAUUUUUUGGACCCGACUGGAUAAUUGACUGAACUACUAGAUUGACGGAAAAUUUUCAUAUUGAGAUCGAAGUUUAGAAUUAUGUGAUUUUUCAGUUUCUGGAGUUGUUCCUUUUGUCAAUUGCUCCUGGCCUGUAGGUUGUAGUGCGUACUUGUUUUGUCCAUCUAAACUUGUGAAGAUAUUAUUCCUGUCUGCAAUGAUCAUAGCAUGUUUAUCUUUUCUUAAUCUGGUAUGUUAUCUAAAAGUUUAAAGAUUUAAGUGGAUUAUACCAUUGUAGUUAUCUGCUUAUUUUCUUAUUUAUUGGGUCAAAUUAAUUUGAUUAAAUGUAUUGAUUGUCAAUAAUACAAUGCUUCAGCCUCUAUGUCAAUGGAUUUUAGGGGAGGUUCUUUUUCUUCAUUAUGAAAAACGGGUGGAUUACUUUCGAUAUAUUGGAUUACUGAAUUGUGCAGUGCUAAUUGGGAAAUUUAUCUUGUUAGGCCAUCUUGUUCACCUAGAUUCAUGUUAUUUAUUUUUAUGAAUUUUCACUCAUCACAUGACUUCCAUGGUUUACGAGGAAAAUUUGUGAAGUAAUCAUGAAAGUAGUUCCUGUACAGAGUUUUUUCACUUCAUCAUCUUGGCAUGGUGUCUGGUGAAUUCUGUUUGGGUUGAGUAAUCAUGAUUUCCCGAACAGUCAUCUAUUUAUAUCUGUUCUAUUUGUUCGAGUGGUUAAUGUGUCAAUGAAGCAUGUGACUGUUCUAUUUGUUUUGAAGGUUUCCUUUAUCCUUAUUAUUUUAAUCUAUGAAUUUGAAAUGUGCAUUGUAUAGUAAAACUUCCAAACACUGAAAUAUGUGAAGAAAGUAUAUGUUGGACAUCUUUCCAAGUUUGACUAGAAUUGCUGGAGUCAUUUCACAUAAGUAGCUAACUUCUAUGUACGAAUUUCUGUUUAUUGAGGAAAAUGGAACUAAAGCCUAGAGGAAUUCACCAAUUUAGAUACAGUACCCCCUCACUUUAGAAUUCUUAUUUUUUAAUCUUGAUGGGUAGAAAUGAAGUUUUAAUAUGACCAAGAGAACUCUAAAUUCUAUUCGUGAGGAUUUUCUUACGAAAAUGUAAUAAUGGGAUAAGAAGUGAGUCACAAUGAUAUGUGAAUUUCUUUGAACUUGUUUCAUUUAUAUGGUGGUAUUGCAUGUAAUUGUGGUAGACUAUGAAAUCCUUUAUUUUGAAUGAAAUAAGGUUCCCAUGCUUUCUUCUCUCAAUCCAGCUCUUUAUACCUAUGGGGGUUGUAGUGUGCUAGUGAGGUUGGCUUUUCAGGAUAUUAAGCUAUUUUCUAAAAAUAUCUCAUUGAAAUGGUGCAUGAAUUUGAUAAAUGCAAUAUAGACUAAAAUCCAAAUAAACGGAUGCUAUAGAAGCAAAUAAAAAGCUAAAUGGAUGCUAUUGAAGCAAAUAAAAAUUAUAAUGGAGGAAGACAACCCAAAUAUUAAUCCUUUAUCAAAGUUAAAUACCAUUAUCUCAUAUUUGUAUUUGUUUGUGUCAAUGUUUAUGUUGCUGCUAUGGCUAUUUUCAAUGUUUAAGAGUCCCAUCAAUGCUUGACCUGAAUGCUCCAUAACUUCAUUUAUCAAGCUUGGAACUCAGACUUCCUGUUGGUGGUUAAUGAACCAUUAUCUUUGUUGUUGGAUCUGAGAAUGCUACUAUAGUCUAGCUUCAAUUUUCUAAGUUUAGGGAAUCCCUUGAUUAUUACAUUGAAAACCAGUUUGGUCGUAUAAAUAGGUUAUAAUACCACCUGUUUAUUCAUUCCUUUCAAUGAAAACUUGAAGAAAGACUGUACUUAAUUCAUUGUUUCUGUAAUCUGUAGGGCUCUUCAACAAAAGUUGUGGCUUUUAACCCAACGGAUAACCAUGGUGGUUAAGGCCUUGGAUUCAUACAACUUUUACUUAUGACCGUUAGACAUUAAGUCAUUAACUGACACACAGGCUUUUAUUGCUAGCCCUUAGGUUUUUAUUUUAUGAGGCUCUGUUCUGAGAUUAAUAAUGUCUAUGAUAACAACAAUGGAAGUAUGCUUAUCAAUUGAUUAAGAGAUGAACAACUAGAUCUUGUCAGGCUGACUGCGUGUGAGAUCCUUUCACGACAAGGGAGGUUUUGGAAUCCUCUGAACUAGGCCGAUAAUUUUAUUGUCUGUUUAAAAUUUUAAAUAUUUUAAUUUUUCUGUUGGGUUUUCUGAUAAAUCAAUUCACCAUCUCACCCAAGCUACACUUACUCUUUGUUCUCUGCAGGGUUUAUGAUCAAAUGCCAGAACCGCGAUGGGUUAUAUCCAUGGGAAGCUGUGCAAAUGGUGGUGGAUACUAUCACUACUCAUACUCAGUCGUUCGGGGUUGUGAUCGAAUUGUCCCUGUCGAUAUCUACGUUCCUGGUUGCCCUCCUACUGCUGAGGCAUUACUUUACGGAAUCCUUCAAUUGCAGAAGAAGAUCAACAGACGCAAAGAUUUCCUCCAGUGGUGGACCAAGUGAGACCAUCCAUCCAAGUCAGGUAUUGCUCCUUGGUGGAUGCUUCAAACUACAAUAAGAACUGUAUUACAAGUUUGUGGAAAUGUAAUAGAAGAGAUUAUGAGUGAUGUUUCAAUAAGACCCCAUAACUGAUCCUCCUUGGUGAUGUUUUUUCCCCUUUUUCUGUUUAUCUCCCCCAUGUUAAAUGAAGCCUUUGCAUGGCAAAGAAUUAUAUGUAUCUCUUCAACUUUGGAGUUCACUAAACACUUCUGAAUUUUUCAACUUAGUUUAAUGUCUUCUGAUUUAUUAUUGUUAAUGCCAUUUUUCAACUUCUCUUUCCAAAAUCAAUUCUGUAAUCACCAUUUUGUUACUACUUUGUUUGAGGUUACUUUUAUUUACAAUUACAAUAGUGGAUGGAGAUAAUUGUUUUUCUAAUUAUUGAUUUUUAAAGAUUCUUUUCUUCCAAAUCUUAUUAUAUUCUUGAAUAUGUCAUUUAUCUUUAUUUAUACAUUCAAUUAGUUUGUGUUGGGACAUAGAUUAUGCAUUCUUUCUAAAAUAUUCAUUUACCUUGACUCUCACCUGUAGUUGUGAUUGUAAAUUAAGGAAGUGUUCUUUAUUUAAUAAACAAAGAUGUAGUUCACACAAUAGUAAACAAAGUCAACAAAUAUAAAUUGAUAGAUGAUUGUGGAAAAAACUGCACAAUAAAACUUAUUUAGAGGUCAAAAUGGCUAAUGAUUCUUUUUGACAUGUCAAAUGUUGUUAUGAUUGCGUGAAAUUAUAACAUUUUUAGUUUUUUUUUUUUCUUUUAUUCUUCCAGUGCUCGUCUUCUUUGAGUUGUUCUUCUACAAUUCCUACUCUUUUUAUCCAAUUUUGGCGCCUGUCUUCUUAGGAGUGAUUUUGAGAGAGAUCGAUAGACAGGGAGAUGGAUGAGACGAAAAAGAAAAAAAAUGAGCAAGAUAGUAGUGAUUUGUGAGUGGUAAAAGAAGAGAUGCAGGUAAAAGAUCAUUCAACAUUUUCUUAAAAACGAAAUCCUCUAACAUGUCUCCUCAAUCUUUUGAUCAUCCAUUAAAUGAUUCGUGAUUAUGAAGGGAUACACUUUAUUUUAUUUAUUUGUAGCUUUCCGUGAUAGAGAGAGCAGGAGUAUAAUAUGUGAGUGCAUAUAAUUUAUGCGUAAUUCACAUAUCCCAUUGCUUUUAAAAUAGAGGACCAUUCUAAAAACAAUUUUGUCAACUCAAACAAAACUUGGAGUAAAAAGAAGAAUAAUAUGGAAAAAAAACGUAUAUCUCUCAAAUAGGGGGGAGUCUAAUUGAUUUGAUAAUUAGGCAACAAGAUUAUAUCCAAUUAUUUUAAAGGAAUGAAGAAUCUGAUGUGUGUUUGUAAGGGAUGAUUAGUUUGUCCGAUGAGAGAAUGUUUAGAUGGAAAAAACAAAUUGUGAGCUUUCUAGUUUUUCAGUUUCCUAAUUUAUGGUAACGUUAUUAUGAAAAUUAAUGGAAGCAGACUUCUGUAGAUUAGGAUUUAGCUGAUUUUGAUUAAAAGAAAAAGACCCAACAGCUGUGGAAGACGAUAAUGGAGAACCCAAUGUUAAUGAACUGAUAAAGACAAAUUUAAGAUUCAUGGGUUGGUGUGAAAUUGAAUUGGAAUGGAGGGAAGGGAAGAAAGAUAUAAUUUUUUUGCUUAGUUCUGCAAUAUUAUUUUAAUUCGUUACGAAUUCAAAAUGAUCUUACCAUUUUCCCUCCUUUUUCAAAGCUUUCUUCAAACCCCGAGUAUCUAGGGUUUCAAUACUGUACUUUAUACAGCUUUUUCCUUCCACUUUGGUUCGUCUUUCGUCUUCACUACCAAAUAUUCCUCUUUCACUGCUCCAAAAAACCCAUCUCUCCGUUUCCCUCUGUUACUUCAAAAUGAAUGAAACCCGAUCGCACCUCCUUCAACUUCCAAACCAACUUGACCCAUAUGGGUUGAUGCUUUCUGAAUCAAUUGAACGGUUUUUCGAUGAAUAUCGAAAAGGGGUUACUGAUUUCUCUAGUUUCAUUCCCAUUUUCUCUCGUUUGCUUAGAAAUUUGCCCGACCCACCGGUGGCCGUCGUGUGGUUUUACUCUGCUCUGACUUUUCACACAGCUAAAUCCUCAGCUAGAGGUUCUUCGGAGAAGCUGCAGGCAGUUAAGGAUUUAUUCCAGCUCCUUGUUUCUUGCACGGAGUCUUCCUGUGCGUCGAAAAGAAUCGCGGUGCUGGCUCCGGUUGUUUACUGUCUGUUUGAUUUAGUUGUCGAGAAGAAAACGUCUAAGGAAGAGGCUGAGAAUUUGAUCGAUGGGGUUGUUAGUUAUAUCAGUAUUUGUUGUGGUCAAGAGUCCGAGGAAGUAGGUUGUUCCUUGGGGUUUGGUCCUUAUUUUCUGGAUUUGGCUCGUGUCUGGAUGGUGGACAAACCUGGAGAAGAUUUGAAGGGUUUUCUUCCGCUUGUUAGCCAUGAAAUUUGUCAAGGCAUCAGUAUCAAUGGUGGGGUUGGCUACUUUGCUGGGAUCGUUAUGUUUGAAGCCUUUUUGUUGAGGCUGUGCUUGAAAUUUUCCUCUCGGAUGUCAAUGGUAGAACUGCAAAAUGAACUCCACAGCCGGGCUGUUCAAAUGAUUGCUGGGUUUCGUAGCUGUCAUUUCUAUGGUGAGAUUUGAUUUUGGUAUUCUUUCUUUUAAUAUCACGAGACUGUUAAAUAACCUGGUCCUUCCUCAAUUUGUUCCUCGGCCCUCUUUUUUCUGUCUAGUAAAAGCACGUUAAGUUCUUAGUAGUCUCUAUUUCGACCUUCACAUAGACGCAACAUGUCUCAUAGAUGUUAGGGGCGUGUAUUUCUUUAUGUAUUAUAAGUAUGUUCAUCGUAUCUGCUUUGAUUUUGGUAUGCAUUAACUGGAUGCUCUGUUCAACUAUCCACCAUAUGUCCUUCAGUUGACAUAUAUGAUGCACGCAAACUAGGCAUGAAGCACUGAUAUUGCAAUAUUUAAAACUUUGCUAAAAGUGAAGACCAGGGAUGGGAGGCACAUAUUCUCUUUUGGGAAUCAUAUAAUUGAGUGGAUUGUGCCAUAUUCAGACAAAUCUAAUUCUGAAAGUAGUAUCUCUCUGUAUGUGAGGUAUAAAAUAAAAAUUCCAAUCGCUUUUGCGUGCACGUUCAUUAUGUUUUCAGGGCUUCUCUUGUUCGUAUGCCCUCUACAUAUCUGGAUGACCAAGCCUUUUCUAGUGCUCUAAUUGCAUCCGAUCUUUUCUCCUAUUAUCAAUGACUCUGGGUGCUUGUAAUCUGAAAUCUGUUGGUGCAUAUCAGAUAUUUUCCUCAGGAUGCUGCUGCAGUCAGUUUUGCCAACUACCUAUUUGUUGGUCAGUAUUUCUUUCUUUUAUAUUUAUUUCUGUGUACCAUGUUUGUAGUUUAUUUAUUUGAGGCAGUAGUAUUCCUACUUCUAGAUUGAUGGCUCUCCCUUAUGAGAUGUAGUUUGAGGUUCUGCAACUCUGCUACUAUCCAUCAGAAACACCAUACACGCCCAUGGUGGCUUAAGCUUGAUCAGAUACAUCUUUGGAAGUAAUAUUGCUUACUCAUCUUGAAGUGGUAAAGGGAAUAAAUCUUUGAUUUUACCGAACUGUUUCUUCCGUAGGGUUCUGCAGAUGAAAUUCUUCUGCGAGAAGUAUUAUAUGAUGCUGCAAUAAUACCAGAGUACCCAUUCCUUAAACUUCAAUUUGGAACUGAACGACCUGCUGCUGAUUUAAGAACUAUUUGUUUGAAUUGGUUAUUUGUUGCUGAUAAUGGUAUUCGUUCCUUUAGGUAUAACAAAUCAUAAUUCGAGCAUUAGCUACAGUAUCUCAAUUCUCAAUUUGAACUUUGCAAUGCAUGUGAUAGAAUGGAGUAAAAAUUUAUAAUGUGCACAUUCUGAUUGGUUCAGAGACACUGGAAAUCUGAGCAAGGCUAUGUCCUACAUAAAUGCCUUCCGCAAUUCUUGUUGGCCCUCUCAGUUGAUCAAUUGGAUCAGAAACCAGCCAGGCUUCAGCGAGAGGAUGAGUCAACCAAAUAUCUGCACACCCACGGCUCUUAUCGGUUAGUUUCUAAACAUGUACAUUGACUUAUGAUUCUAUGAGCAAUGUUUUUUCCAGUUUAUUCAUGUAUUUCUUUCAAUGAUAAUGAAGAUAUAGUUCACAGAACAUGAAAGUGACAUUAUGUACAAGACAACUAUUAUGUGUUGAGCUUGAUUAUAAGACAUCUAUACUGUGAAUCAUGUUUCGUGUUUGCUGGACAUUGGGACUAGCAUGGGAAUCGAUAUAUAUACAUAUACAUACAUAUAUAUACAUAUACAUACAUACAUAUAUAUAUAUAUAUAUAUAUAUGAGAUAACUUCUUAAUACUAGGGUACUACCACACUAACGAAUUUUGUCGUCAGCAUCCUUUGAGAAUGUUCUGAGGUCCAAUAACAUUAAAUAAUUCUUUAUGCAAUUUUUCAAUAUACAUGUGUAUUGGCAUGCUUUGAAUCUAUUAUCUAUUGCUUUGAACGACCUAGUGGCGGCACAUCUAAUUUGUACUUUUAUUUUGAAUUUUCGCUCUGAUAUAAAUUGUUCUUCCUUUUCUCAUGAGCAACAUGUUGAUUCUCUAAUGCUUUACAUUUUCUGUUAUCUGUAUUUGUUGAUUCCACCACAGUACGUUUGAUGUCUUUUAUUGACGGCUGAUGUUCAAUUUGAUUAUACUUCAGAAUGGCUUCUGGUAUUGGAAGAUCAAGGGGUGAGAGUGUUCGACCAUUCGAACUCCAAGCUCAGAGCGAGAGAAACCAUUUGUAAGUCGGAAGCUGAGUUUGUACAACCAGCAAAAGUUUCAGAUGGCAUGAACCUAGACGUUAAAUUCUUCAAUAAUGCUUCAAAUGUGAUGGAUGAAGAUCCUUCUGUUGGUGACUUUGACAUGGUUGAUUCAAUGGCUACCGCAGCAGUACAGGCAACAUCCAUUACCUUAAAUGGAAAUGGCAUUGAAAAUGGAAGAAAAAGAAAGGAAUGCAUGACUGACAAAGAGGACAUGAGGGUAAAGUUCCUUAGGCAACAUCUCCACGACAAUCCACUCAGAGAGAAAUCUUUGCCACUGGUCUGAUUAGAAAUCCAUCCCUUCACUGAUGGAAAAUAUAUAUAUAUAUAUAAUAUUAUAUAAGGAGACAUUGUCUGUAACACAAAUCUAUGAUACUAUGGAGGAAUUUUGUGCCUGCUCUGCAGCCAGCCUCUCGGCUAUUAACGUUUUCUUUUUGUAAGGCAAUACGGUCUUGAGAUUAGAUUCUUCAAAUCGAUUGUGUAAGCUUUUACAUAUAUAUUUGAUCAGAUGCUAAUCAAGGCAAGGCCAGUAGGUUGUAAACGAUGGAAAAUUUGCCAUAAUACAUAUGGUUUAAAAUAACACUUCUCUUCUAAUUCUCUCUUCUUUUGAGCUGAACGUGACAUGAAAGUAACGGAUUCAAACUUGUGAUAAGGUUAACAAGUGAAAGAGGAGUUUUACUUAAAUCAACUAGGUAAACAAAAAGAAAACUUAGAAAAUUAAAUGCAACUUCAAAGUUGACAAAAAAGAGUUUGACUACCCAAAAAAAAAAAAGAAAAGCUUUUUGUGAUACCUACUGCUCAUGAACUGAAAAGAUAAUAUUUUUAUGUAAGUUCUUAAUAAUGAAGUUUGAAGGUCACAUGUUUCCUAUGGUUUGCUCACAAGCAAUCCCCACGAUUCUUUUAUCUUUCAGUCAUUGUCAUUGAAAAUCCAAACCUUAGGGAUUCACAAUCUCUACUUUUUUAAAAUUAAUUUUGGAACAAAUAUGUAUAUAUUAUUUUCUCUGAGAAGUACUUGCAAUUUCACAAUAGAACGUGUGGAUAAACAAGUACACAUAAAAUAUAAGAAUCAAAGUCUAUGAUAAUACAUUUUUGUAAGGACAGAAGAAACAGUCAAAAAUAAUUAAAAAGUGUGGCUGAAAAAGUCAACUGUAUAGAUAGUUUUCUCUUUUUAAUUUAUUUAUUUCAAGUGACACAAUCUUAUGAUCAUAAGAAAAACAAAUCACUUUUUUACUUAAUAAGCAAACAAUCCAAUAAUGAAGUUGUGAUGAUGAUCAAAUUACGCAAUUGCAUGUGAAAAGCAUCUUUUAAGUACAUUGCUUUUUGCCUCAUGGAAAUUAAGGACCCAUACCCUAUUCACUAUUACAAUUAAUUCAGUUUAACCCAACUUAGAUCCAACAUUUUAUUUCAAUCAUUCCAAAUAUAAACUUAAAGAUCAAGAAUAUCCAAUAUGGAGAAGAAGAAAAAACAUGUAUCGUUAGCAACAGAUUCAUCAGAAAAUUAACCAACAACUACUCCUAUGUAAAUCUUCAGUUAUUUUACAUUGUACAAUCAUUUUCUUAGUUCAACAUAGACAAAAGAAAGAGAGAGAUAGAGGAAGAAAAUACAUAAAAUCUUUUAUUGAUAAAAGAUGAAUUAAGACAAUAUUUGUGGAAAUAUAUAUAAAAUAUAAUAUGAAUAAUAUGAUCUCUUUCUAAUUCUCCCAACCAACCAAUCCAUAAUCGGCCAACCCAAUAAAUAAGAACAAGCUAAAUUCAACUUGCAAAAAAACAAACCGACCCAUCAACUAAUCAUCAUACGAACAUUUAAGGAAGAAGAAGAAAAAAAAAGUUCCAUCCCAUCUGCUGCCGGCAGAGAUCUCCGCCGCCGCCACUAUUCAUGUUCAUGUUCAUGUUCAUGCUGAGAGGCAGUGGCAACCCCAGCAAGUUUUUGAAGAUUCAGUUUGAUGACAGUGUCGACGAACAUUUUGGUAUCCUCACCGGUGUUCCCUUCUGGUAUGUCAACGAUGUAAGACUCCAAAACGAUGGUGUAAACUUUGCUGUCUUUGUUGAACUCGUUCACCGACGUCACUGAUCGGUAAUUGUUCAGCCGGUGCUCUCCUCCCACCACCCUGAAGCUUAAUAUAUGCUUCUCAUCGUCCAAAAUCUCUAGCCUUUCUGUGCUCGUUGAUGCCGGAAGGCCGGAAACCACCGUCACCUCUCUAAUGCUGCCGACCCCGCCAUCCCCGGCUGUUUAAAACACAAUUUAUGGUUUGAAAGUGUAAACUAAACACUUAAUUAUUAAUUAAACAGAAAACUAAAAACGGAAUUGUUAUAAAAACAGAACACUUCCGUUUGUUAUAAAUAAAACAGACAAUUUGGGAAAUCACUUGGGUGAAUCUUGCAUGAAAACAAAACAAAUAAAACUUUGAAAUGAUUAAUAAAGUGCUUUAUAAUUAAAAAAAAGAAAAAGAAGCAAAGGAAAGAACAAGUAUUUUUAAGCAAAGUCUAUGAUGAGAGAAGAAUUAAGUGUGUGUGUGUGUAUAUAUAUAUACCUGACAUUUUGCAGCUUUUGAUGAAGUGCUUGUACUUUUGGGGAUUAUCGAAGCUGCGAACGAAAGGCCAGACGGCGUCGAGAGGAGCGUCGAUACGUUGGGUGAUGAGAGAAGUGGUAGUGUUAGGAGAAGGUUCAAAUUUGUGGUAAGUUUGAAUGAGGGGUUGAAGUUCUUGGUAUUCAUCAGCUUCUAAUCCUGGCAAAGGUGACGUUUUCUUCGCCGCCAUUGAUUCAAAUGAUUAUCACAAUCAAAAUAUUACAUUUAAAUGAAACAUAUCUCAAUGAGAAACACAAACACUCCAAUUUCGGGGAUUCUUUAACGCAACGCUGCUUUGAGCCAUUUUGCUGUGCUGACGAAUGGAUCUCUCUCUCUUUAUAUAUAUAAUCUCUCUUAAGCCAACACACACGAACUACUAGAUCCACGUGGGACCCACUUCCUCCCCCCCCCCCCCCCCCCCCAUUUUUGGACAACUUUGCCCUUCCCAUAUAUUUCCUAUUAUUGUUUAUUCUACUUAAUUCGAAAAAAAUAAAAAUAGAGAAGUUCUUCUUACUCGGACUACCCUGGUCAGGUUGGAAUGGAAUAUAAUUAAGAUUAUCGAAAAUCUUACUAAUGUUGGAAUAAGCGAUGAAUCGAGGAAAAACGAAAAUUGGUAAUAAAAAAGAGGAUUGAAUUGAAGACAUCGGAAACAUGUUAAGUUUGAUUUUUCAAAUUUAUAGCCCAAACCAUUAAAACAAAAGAGAGUUUCAUUCUACGGUAUAGAUCUCCAGACAACCUCUAAAUACUUAUAAAAAAAUGUUUCUGAAAGAAGAGAAUAAGAUUGUUAAAUAGUCGUUAUUAUAGUUUGUUAUAAGGACUAUAAUGUUAUUCUAUGAACAUGACAUGCAAACUAUUUUAGUUGAAUCAUACAUAAUAUUUUAAUUUGAAUUACAAAUGUAGAAAAAAAUUGAUUAAAAAAUAGAUGAUGAGAUUUUUCGAAUAAUUUCUUAUGUAAUGAAAUUGAGUGAACUACUCACUACAUCCAAAGCAAGUUGAAGACUCAAACACUAGUUCGAAAGUCAAAUCUAACAUUUCCUAAAUUCGUCUAGAAGUUAGUAAUCUCUUUUCGAGACAGUUGAUGAAGUUUGUUAAUAUCAUGUAGCAUGUAAGAUAUUAUACGAAUUUACUUGCUUCAAGUGCAAAACAAUUCAAUAUUUUAAGAGAUAUUUAUACAAGGGUAUAUAAAAGAAUUAUGGAAGCUGUGGAUAUAUUAAUGCAUAUGGUUGUAUUGUAUUAAUAAGAUUCUAAUCCAUUGACUAUGAAUGUUAAAUAACUUUUAGGUUUGAGUCUCUAUUGGGUCAUUUUCUUGUUCAAUUUGUUACUAAGUAGACUUUAAAAUACCAUAAAUUGAACUCACUUCUAAAUGUCAACUUUUUUAUUAAAAGAAAUACUAUGUCAAUCUGAAUAAUCUUAAUUCUAGCUAAGACUAUAAUUCUUUUUUUUGAAAAAAAUACUAAAGAAGGUUCCAAAUUGUUGGUAAUAGUGCAUGAAUUUAUUUUUUAUAUUUUCGUGUAUCGACUGAAUUAUUCGAUGCGACAAAUUCUUCUUAUUUUACUUUAAGAAAAUGCAAAUUUUGAUUUACGACGAAGUAUGGAAUUGAAUGUGUUGCAUUUGAUGGAGAGAUUCAAGGAACCUGAAACAUAUUCAUGAAAGGAGGCUGCUUAGAGAAGCUAUUUUGUAUGUUUUUAACGAGAGAAAAAAAAGACAAUACUAAGAGUCAUUUAAAUUUGGGUCUUACCGAGGUGGUGGUAAGUGGUAAGAGCAGCAGCAAUAGCACAACUCACAUUUGGGUUUUGACCAACAAAACAAACCCAACCAUUGUUAUUUAUCCAUCAAAUACUCGUAACAAUUUAAUUCAACUUUGCUACACCCACAUCGUCUAUCUAGCUAGCUGUCAUGUGGGGGAUCAAAAAAGGUUCAAAGCUUUCUACAGAUUAUAAAUGCUAUCCCUCAUAAAAGUUUCCCAUUUUUCAAUGCCCUGAGGACAUCUGGCUCAAAAAUAAGAUUUUUCAAUAUAGUCUCGAAUAAUGAAAUUGAGGUUGCUAACCUCACAAACUAGCAAAUAAAAAUUAUAGUAUAUAAAGCCUAUUGUGAUACACAAUUCAAACACAGCUGUGAGGGUUCAGACUUUUCAGACUCAAAUUGCAUAAUUCAUAAAAAUCAUAAAACGGAGAGAGGGAGAGAGAAUGGAAGGACUCAAAUGUAAAAAUAAAGGGAGCCAGUGAUCAACGUUGGAAAGGAAAAGGUGGAGAUUCGUGGAUCAUGUGAAAUGUAUAACAAACUCCUGCGUGAUCUUAACUCCUCUUUGCAGGAGUCCUCACACUUUAUUAACCUCAAAAAAUAAACAAGAAAAGAAUAUAAAUACAAUUUGAGAUCUAGAAACGAGUAUUGAUAAAGUUGGAUGGUUUGAUAUGAUAGAGCAUAGUGAUGAUGGGUUUGGUCAUCUUCAUCCAGUACUUUGUUUCUUGUAUCAAUAGAAAAGAAAAAAGAUAAAGAGAGAUUGUUUAGAGUCUGUGACAGACAGCUUUAAUCAUGGUUUGGUCUGUAAUCCAGAAACUUCUGGUUCAAUCUCAAACAUAGCCAAACCUUGUUUGACUUUCACUAUAAUAGUUUUACAUGAACAAAGCUUGGUUUCUUAUUCUAACAUAUCUUCAUUCUCAAAGUAGUGUUUGAAUUUGAUUAAUAUUAUAAUUUAGAUAGAAAAAUGGGAAAGUGGGGUCAAGGGAAGGGACAGUGCGGAGGAAACCCAAGAGUGAAGAAAAGAGAUCGAGAAGAGGCAUUGGAGGAAGGAGUAAAAAGGAGGGGGGGGGGGAGUGUCGGUGAGAUUACAUAAGCCAUUGAGGAUGAGACAUCAAUCUCGGGCUUAUAAUGUCUGCCUUUCUCUGUAUCCAAUCAAACUCAAUGCUGGUUUUGUCCCAACUCAUCCCACUAGGACUUGGGUUUUCCCGUCCACUUGCCUUGGAUUCCACCUAUCCUACCCUUUUACCCUAUUAUUAUAUUUCAGUCUUAAAGCUCUAGCACACUGAUUUCCUUCAGUUUCUUUUGAUACUUGUCAAAGGAUAUCUGGCACACCGCUAAGAGUUUUUUUCUCCCUUUUUUUCGACUUUAAAUUAAUAUAUCAAACUCAUCUUACGAGAAAACUCUCAAAAGAUAUAAUUUCACGAAACAUACAAUAUCUGAUUCUACACAGCCACACCAAGAAAAAACUUCAAGUCAUUGUCUUGAAACUAACCAUCCUUAUCUAAACGAUCGGUUAAUCAAAGUUUCUAUUCAAUUUCAAUAUCUUAUAUAGGGUACCUUGGAGUUUGAACUCAUUUCCCUCAAAGUUUCUUUACAUGCUUUUACCUAUCUUUGCACAACAAUACCAAUAUAUAGUGGCUAUAGAAUCAAAAGUUAUGAAAUAUACCUUGUAUCUGCAUUCUAAUCAGAACCAUCUAAAUAUAGAUAAUUAGAACUUAGAUCAUCUAAACAGUAUUUUUCUUUUAAAAAAAGGUCACUCACCUCCAAUAGUUACUUGGUAUGUACUUAAGUAUUAAGAAAACAAACUAAACCACUUCUAGAUUGCUAAGUUUAAAAUAAUAUUAUCUUGAAAGUCUAAGAAAUUCAAACGAUUUGAUUUAUCAAUUUCCAUGAUUUCGAGCAAGGACUUCCAGUUCCGACAGGACCAAACUCUUGUUCUGUUAUUCACAUCCAAUUUCUAUUCCAGAUAACCAAGGGCAAAGGGCGUUUGAAAGGACAGUACAAGUGUCGUCAGGUUCUCUAAUCAAAGGGUUUAUUUUUGUUCUUGAACUUCGUAUCAUUCCUAAACACUGUUGAAAUUUUGAUAACUAGAGUCGGACUUUUGGUGACCAGGUACGCUCAACUCUUUGACGAACUGACAUUAUGAAGCUGAUUGGUAUUAUUCACAUGGGACUGUCAAAAUAGCUAAGUAAUAUUUUCUCUACCAAUACCGUUUCAGAACUGAGAGCUGGAAUAAGUUGGUGUGCGCUAUCUGUAUAACGCACUUGUACAAUGGAUGAUUGGAGAAGACGACCGUUAGUGUCAGAAUGUUAAUUGGGCGCUUCCCUAAGAGAGUCCCUCUAAAUUUCUUGUAUAUCUAGGUGAAAAGCAGAAUGAAAGUGUUGGAGUGUUGGUGGAUGGAUGUAGAUCUUUUACUUGAUUGAACUACUACAAGGUUGUGUGUUGUCUCAAUUCUUUUGGUUCUGAUCGUUGGUAUGCCGUUGAGUAAGUUGCUUUGUUUUAUGAAAUAAAUUGCUGAUAUUUGUGUACUACUGUUGUUUUCCAGAGGCUUCAGUUUUCAUCGAAUAAUAAUUACCGAAGUAUAAGCCACAAUAAUAUCUCUUUCAUGGAAGGACAUAGAUAUAGUACUGGAAACAGUUUAGCUCCAACUUCAUACAAGUCACGUGAUUAAAGUAAAGCCGUGCUAAAUGGCUCAUACUACUGAAUAAGACAGGAAAACAAAGUAGCUCACUUGGUGACUACGUUCUGUGUGGAGAGCUUUCUGUAUCAAUUAACCUUUGCUUCGAGAGAUUUUCAAUUGAAUCAGCAAUGACUUUAGCGCUAGAUUUCAUGUAACCGCCUGGGAGUGGAAUUAAUAAAAAAAACAUUACUCCAAGAGACUAGAAAGGAGUCAGCAAAAAAAAAUCAAAUGGAAGAUAAACUUGAUCGUUUGAAGAAGUAUAAAAUGGCAAAAGUAACCUGUUACCUGAGCAAUCCCUCAUCGUACCAUAAUGUUUCUAUUUCCUAACAAUCAUAAUGUUCAAGGUACAAAUUUAAAGACUUUUUCCCAUCAUCGAGAUAAAGUUUCACACUACCAAGAAAUAUUCUAUAGUUGGCAAGAAAAUAAUUAUCGUCGUUACUAUGCUAUAUUUAAGGCCUUGGUCAUUUAAAUUUCAAGAUACCACCCCAUGUGAAAAUGGUACAAUAAUGAAAUUAACUUUAACCAUGAGGGAUAAACGCACCCAAUAACAUUAAGAAUUGAAGUUGAAUGUAAAUGUGACAGAUAUAAAUCCGUUUUAAUAAGAAAGAUUGCUAAAUAAAAGAAAGGUAUGAAUAUUAUGUACAUAUGAAAUUUAGAAUGGUCCCCAUUAGAUAUUUUACCACAUGGUCAAAGAGUUAGAAGUUAGUAUUAAAUAAAAGGAUUGAUGGGUGUAUUUUUUUAUAUAUUACAAGAGAGAAAGGUCGAGCAUAAUAAAAAAGGUGCAUAUUCAAUAAACUUCAUUGACAUGUUCGUGUAAGGGAAAAGACCUGAUGUCAGCAUCACAAUGGGAAUGUUCCUUGCACGAGCAAAUCUGAAAACCUUUUCAUCUCUCUUAGCUAUUCCCUCAGCACUAAUCUGCAAUCAGUGUGUAAUCCACACCACAACCAACAAACUUUUUAACCAAACCAGAAAGCACGGAAGGAGAAAUCAAAUUCUUGAAAAACUAAUUUGGGGGGCACAGUUACCUUUAACAAGCCCAGUGGAUCUCCAUCUAGAAUAUCAGUCCCAGCAUUGUAAACAAUUAAUUCAGGAUCAUAUGAAGUGGCAGCAACCUACAAUUAACAUGGUGAAAAUAAGCAGAGAGUCGACGAAUAGAUAAAUCGGUCAUUCCCCAACAUUGCCAAAUGUUACAAACCCAGAUGCAGAGUGGGGAAGUAGACGAUUCUGUUGCAUAAAGUUUGAAACCGAAGGGUAAAAGGCUAUAAGAGAAGUUUCAAUAUUUGGGCACAGUGAAGAACAUAUUUUUGUUUAGUAAUGAUAAACCAAGCUUCCAUUGAGAAAAAAUGUAAGAAAUAAACAAAGGUAAUUGAUAAACAAUUAAACUAAAAAAAAUGAAUUUAAGAAAAGCUGCCUACCUCGAGUGCUUCAUCUAAUUUCUUCAAGUAUUCACUUGUUGUGGUCCCACUCUGCAUGAGAAAACAUAUCCAUGAACACCCGAGCAACAAGUGAAACAAACAGAAUCUAUUUCCAUAACAAGCUUUACUUACAACUACUUCAACUUUCUGAUCAAUGCAUCUUCUAGCCUCAUAAUCCUGAUAUACGCAUACAUAGAGAGAUAGAGAGAGAGAGUCACAAAACUUCUAUGCUCAAUCAAAAUGGUAAUAGUGACUUUGAAAAUGAGAUGGAAAUAGAAACUUGGCAACUCUUAAAAAAAACUAACAAGAGGGCAAACACAAAACAGCAGAAUCAAUAAUUUUCAUCCACCAUAGAAUAUAAGAGCAAAGUAACUUACAAAAGGAUAUAUUCCAGGAUUGAACAUAUCAAGAAUAUAUACUCGUCCUGCUAGCAUAGAUAAAACCGUCACCAGUCAAUGAGAGAGCCAAUUAAAAUCUAUUACUGGAAAAAAAAAAGUUGGCAUACUAUCAUGGGCAAAAUCCAUUUCAUGGCCAUUUCCUUGAUGGGCAUCAAGAUCAAUAAUCAUUGCCCUGCAAACAUAGAAUAUCACCAGGAUAAGGCUUUAUUACCACAGGUUCAUAAGUACUUGCUAUGCAACAAAAUUCAACAAUGCAUGAGUUCUUUUAGGUCACUAUGGUGCCAAUUUAUGUACAGCAUACUUUGAUAUGUUAAGCUGAACGAAGGCAUAGUGUAUACACAGAGAAAUAUCUGCGUACACACAAAAUCCUCCUCCUCGUUCUGCUGAGCAAUGGUGAAAACCACCUCCUACAUUGAUGGCCCAUCCUUUCUCUUUUGCUACUUUUCCAGCUAAUAUGCUGCCUCCAACCUGCAGCAGGAUACAACAUUUACGACCCAUACUAAAUUUGUCAUGAAAGAAGAGAGAGGAAAAUAAUUUGAGAUGAACCCUAUAAUUCACCUGAUUACGAAAUGGACGUUGAACUUUCUCCUUGACAACACAAUGAGGAAACAAUGCAACAGGAGGGACCUAUAUUGUAGUAGUGCAAAUCUAUCAAAACUGAAAAGACUACAACCAACAAUUGAAUCUAGGAAAGGGAAAAUUUAAACAACUCAACGCAUAUUCAACCACUUAAAAAUAAAACAUCUGAGGCUUUCAUAUAUUACAAUUCUCACCAUGUCUUCUGAAAAAGGGACUUCAACUUAAAAUUCUAAAUAAGUAUGCCAACGGAAGUUCCACUCCCGAAAAGAAACGAGUAACUAGUAACCAUCACGGAGGAUAAUGUUUAAUAAAACCAAAUUAUAGCACAAAAGCAACAAGAUGACUCACAAAGCAAGAGGAUAUGAUGCAAUACCUCAAUAAUCUUAGCAACAUUUGAACUGUUCUUCAGACUAUUCAAGUAUGAUUCCGGAUGUACCUGGUCAAACAUUACAAAGAUAGGUCUUUGAAUUAUACUUCAAAUAAGCAGUUGCAAUUCAGGUUCGUGAUUUUUACAAUUUGAGAUUUUGUGGAAGAGCGCGAAUGUACCAAUCUACUCGUAGCACGUGCGUAUAAAGUUCACAACAAAAAGGUAGAACCUAAAAACGCACCACAAGAAGAUCAUUCUUCUUAGCUUCCAAAGGCUUGAUAAUUUGAUCUUUCCUUAAAACUCCAGCGGCAAUAAGGAAUUGGCAUACACGACCCCAUUUCUUUGAAUCAAAUGGAUGCCUAAUGACAAGAUUUCCAAGUAAAAACUAACCAACUUAAAAAAAAAAAAAAAAAUUAGAAGCCGGCAACUAAAAUUAUUAAGAAAACCGAACGGGAUUCAAACACAGGAAAGAAUAACGCGCCAGUUACUCACAACUUCUCUAUUCCAAGAAAUGAGAUGUCAUACGAUGACGAAUAUAUCACCGGAACCUGUUUUUCAACAAAACCCAGAAACAUACUUGAGUACAGGCGACCAGGAGUCAGCUUAAAUGCACACUGAGUUUAACCAAAAUUCUGGUCCAGUACCUUUGAAGAAGGAACAUCAAAAUACAGCUUGCUGGAGAGAAUUCGGUCCCUUCGGACAGCUUCCCCAUCGUUCGCAUCCGGAGACAGCGAAGAGGACAUGCCCCGAGUGAAGAAAUUGGAAUAGCAGAAAAGAGAGCGAAAGAAUGGCCGAGAGAGCUCGAUUGUGGGCACGGUUGAAAAGGAGUGAAUGAUCAGCUGCGUGAGUUCGUGGGUGGGUCGAUUAGAGUUGAGAAUCCGGGGCGGUGAAUCGGUAUGACUCGGGACCGUUAACUUGGAUUUGCUCGAACCAAGUAUAGAUUGGGUCCAUUCGGAUACAGAAUUUUCUUUGGAAUUUUCGAGGCGAAAUCAGCUGCAAUUGGGAUAUUCAAUCGGUCAGAGGGAUAGGACAUUUUUGCCGGUGACCAAUCGGACAGUUACCGGUCAUCUGUUGCCACGAGACUAUGGACUAUGCAUUUGACAUUCCACGCUUAUAUUUUUCGCUUAUUUAAUUUCUCAAAACUAAUUUUAUAUUUAAUAUUAUACUUUCAAUUGCAAUUUAAUAUUUAAUAUUAUACUUUCAAUUACCAUUUUUAUACUGUGAUAAAAUACAUCAUUGAAGAUUCAAAACAAAGAAAGGCGCCUGACCAUAAGGGAGUUGUGACCACAAGAGAGUUUUAGGAACAAAGACCCCUAGUUAAGAAAUGAAUGAAAAAGUGUCUAAAUAAGGAUAUUGUUGCAUUUAAACAUCAUGAGUAUAUUCGUUGUGUUCGUUGAACAUAAAGAACACAAGCACACAAUAAAGAAAUGAGUGACACUCCAAUGUGUGAAAACACUUGUAUUAUUUUGUUUGAAUGCAAACACGAUCGCAAGAGAAGAAUGAUGAACAUAUGUACAAAAGGGAGAAUCCUAACUAAAUCAUUCUCAAUCUUCUAAAACAAGUAGUCCUUUAAAAAUCAAACUUGUAAAAACUAGACAAGUUUCUAUAAUUUGUAAAUUCAUGUUUAAAAAAUGUUUUUGUUUUUAUUGUUUAGUUAACUAGGAAUUCAAGUGUUACCCCAAUAGAAAAACUGAGAAUAGCCCAACAUAAAGAAAACAAAAAAAUUUGUUAUCAACCUCGAUGCUGAAGCUUUCAAAAUAAUCAAAACAGUGUCUCAAUGUUGAAGUCCAAAGUUCAACAGUAUGAACAUUUUCUCUCUAAGUUGCAAACAAGAAUGGAUAGAGCGCCAUCACUCAGCUGAUUCUCAACUACAAAUGUUCAUCCAAAUCUAACAUUCCAACAGGCUUUUUAUACAAUAAGUACCCAGAACAAACCAACCAACCAAAAGGAGAGAAAGCGACAACAGACCAAUCAAGAAUGGCCAUCCAACCAUGGCAAUGCCCAGGCAGACCACCACUACAAAGGGAAGAAAUGAUCUUACAAUUGACAUUCCAUCUACCCAAUGCCCCUUGAACAGAAUUAGAGCUGCUACAUUUAUCAUGUUCCAACUCAUCGAUCCAUCAUAGCAAAGACGGUUCAGACAAUUGGCAAUAAAGGAAUGGCAGUUGCACGUAAAAAGGUUGUACGAUUUAUGCUCAAAAUACCGUGUACUUGAUUGUAAGCCAUCGUCCCAAGUAAUGGCAGUUCCAUACUGUGAAUGCUGGUAGCCCUGCUUACAUUUAUGUGCAGCUAAGCUCGUUGGGAAGCAACACUGAAAAAAACAUAAGGUUUCAAUACAUUGUUAACGAUCCAUCAAAGAAUUUUACACUGUUUACAGAGAAAAAAUAACUAGUAAGAAGAUGGCAUUAAAACCAAGGAAGAUACCUAACAUGGAAACAGAAAAUGGUUUCAGCAAGAAACGCACAUAAGUUCCGUUAAACUUACAUGAGUGAAAUUUAUGCACUUCAAUCAGCAUUGUUAGGAAACAGGGAUUAAUUUCAUGAAAUAUUUAUGUAAACCGAUUACUAUUAACUUACUUUUUCUCGGUUGAGUUGAUGGUAUCUUGCAACAGAGCCAAAUGCUAAAUCAUUAAUAUUCACAAAAUUCGAUCCUGCAAAAUCUAAAGUGACUCCAUCCUCCCUGCAAAUCCCAACAUGACCAAUGAAAGGUGCCAACCAAGAGACAACAGGAAGAGGUGUCCAAACCAAACAGCAUGGAAACUUUGCUUGACCAGGGUCAAUGGGAUCUAGAGGCCAAAAUUCAUGUUUUAUACUCUCUGUAGAACUGAUAAGUUCGACAUCAUAACCUGCUUGCGGCUUCAUUUUAGAAUACCUUCCAGGUAGCAUAUAGAAGCUUUGUUAAUAAUUGGAAAAGAAGCAUCACGCUGUCAAACCACACACUGGCAUAAACUGAAUUUGCUCGCAGCUAAAGAAAAGUAGAAAACAACCAAAUCUGCAAUUGCUUCAUCAUUAUGGAUGCAGGGUUCAGAGAAGUAAUCUGUUACAACCCCAAGACUUUCUCAAAAGGAUGAACAAACAAGAGUAUCUAAAGGCAAGCAAAAAUCAAAGUUGAGAGUAAUUAUUCAAGAACAUUACAACUAUCAGUUGUCAGUCUAAAGUAUUGACAGACAUAAGCCAUUUCAAAAUUUAAUAAAAAAAUUCCAAUAUCUAGAUCCAAUGGCAAUGUAAUCAACCUUCCAUUAAGAAAAACUACACAAAACAACUAGGCGACGAAGAAAAUCAAGAAAAGACAUGUUACCAAUAGUUUCAGUAUAAAGUUCCGUGGCUAAUCAAAUAUCAGAGUUUCAUUUUUAAAAAAUUAAUCAGGUCAAGAAUCUAAGAUAAGAUUAUCCUGUAUCAAGCGCCAACCAUUUGAAGACACACAACAUUUGUUUUUUAAUUCUCUAACCCCAGCUAACUUCAAUUUAAUAUUACAUAUCAUUCCAAAAAUUAUUAUCCGCCAACUUCUGGAUUUGAGAUUACCCCAGAGAUCGACGAAAAAACCCUUGUCGCCAAAUCCCACAAUACAAUUACAAAACUUCCCCAUCUAUUAAACACAUAUCAUUUCACGAUCUAACGAUGGUUGGUCAACCGAUUUCAAAAUCAGUCAACAACGAAAAACUUAUCCAUUAUCGACUUUGAUCUCUAGCCCCAUCGGAUAAAAUCUAAAUUCCUGCCAUCUGAAUCUUCUCACGCCCCUAAAUCAAAGAUUUUUCUUAAGCAGUACCCAGCAUUCUGAGAUGGAAACCCAGGAAUUAAAAUCGGAGGGCAACCCACGAAUUAAAAAAGAUCCGAAAAACACGUAAUCAUCACAGCCUUUUUUGUUAUACCCAAAAUAGAAGUGGCAGAAAAGUGCAAAACUACUAAAUUUAGAAGGGAGAAGAAACUCAAUUUCUCAGACUGCUCAGUCAGACACAGAAAGAUGAUGGAAAAAAAUCCCUCAAGAUUUGAGGUAAUUAGAAGAAAAUAAAUAAUACAUUGAGAAGAAGAAGGGAAGGAAACAAAAGAAAUUUUAAAAAGGAAGAAGGAGUUGGUUGAAAGGAAAGACAUGAAGGUGGAAACUCACCGGUAAUGGGCAGUAGAAGAAAGCGGGAGAUUCAGAAGAUUGUUGAUGGAUAGGAAUUGAAUCCCGGCAUGAUGGGUACAAUUUAUUCGGAAAUCAGAGAGGGAAAUUAUUGAAGAUUAUGAUAAAUUAUCAAUAUGUUGAAGAAAUGAGAAAUGGAAACUACUACUGUUUUUUACUUUAUUUCUCUUUUUGUGAUUGCCCUGCCAGGAAGAGAAGGCGGUUGGGUUGAAGAGUUGAAGCGGCAGAUGCAUGAACCCAUUUUUUUAUUUUACCCUUUUUUUUUCUUCCUAUUCCCCCAUGUGGGACCCAUUCUCCAUAAUAUCUAACCUUUUUCUUUUCUUUUCUUUCUUUUUCCUUCAACUUAUAAUAUGAAUAAAAUAUUUCUAUUAGUACAACAGUUUCAAUCGGAUUAAUUCAAACAUGUGUUUUUAUUACAUUAGAAUUCUAAUUUCAUUUCAUUACGGAUCAUCAAAUACCAUUUUUAAAAUAUAUAUUUUAUCGGUACUACUUUUUAUAUAUUUUUUAAAUUUAUAUAGUUUGUUUACAUUUGUUUGUACAUGUUAAUAUUUAGCUUUUUUAUAUCAUUUAUUUAUAUUUUUCAGUGUUCCUAGAUGAUGAUUAAACCUAAUUUUGACUACAUGUUAAAGUAAAUGGAAAAUUGAAAUCUAUUGGAAGGCGUGAAUGAUUCUAACUUGUAUUCCUUUUUUAACCACAACUACAUAACAAAAGCAAACAAAUUACAAGUGACAGUGAGAAAGCCAACUGAAAACCAUGCACAUUUGAAUUCAUUCAGAGCUUGGCACCCCCGGAAAGUGGGCUGCAAAAUGUGCUUUCCUAGCACAUAACUCAAGUCCAUAACAAUGAUACAUAACCACUAGGUGAUGGGAACAGAUUAGUUUGGAAUGGAUAGCUUCAACCAGUAUCUGACAAUCAAAUUCCACCCAAAAAGGAGAAAGACCAUUUUUGAAUAAGCCUUCUUCAAACCAAUGAGAAUAGCCUUAGCCAUAGCUUCAGCAAAUAACACAUCUAUUCCACUUUCCAAAACCUCCACAAAUGUCAUAAUCAACCUCUCCUACUAAUGCCAGCCACACCCAAUUUUGAACCAUCAGCCUUACUGGAUGUGUCACAAUUAAGCUUCAACCUACGAACACUGCAGUUGCCUUCCACUUCACACCAGAUCGGCAACCCACCUCCCAAUUCCUCACCACCAGCAUCGGCCCUAAUGUAAAUAUGAGCCAACGGAGUCCACCACAGCCAUAGAAAAAUGAGAUUCAACUAGCUUUAAUCUUUAUAACUAUGAUGCAAUUUUGUAGUUCCAAUUUAAAAUGAAUUCACCUGUCAAUGUUUUCGAUUACUCCGAUAACCAACUUUAAAAACUACCAGUAACGUAGACCUGAGUGUUUUUAUUUCAAGUUGUUUUUAUAGAAAGUGUUUAAACGAAAAUAGUUUUUGAAAAAUAUUUUUUUUAUCUCGGUUGUCAAAUUCUUAUGCUAAUUAAUUUUCUCAUUGACCAAAUACAAAAAAAAAAAAAAAAGACUCUUAGAAGCAUAAAAUCACAAAGUAUCACAAUCAAAAUAUAUAAAAAAG
rnacentral:lncRNA from 1 species